UACGUAGGGUGCGAGCGUUGUCCGGAAUUAUUGGGCGUAAAGAGCUCGUAGGCGGUCUGUCGCGUCGAUCGUGAAAACUUGGGGCUUAACCCUGAGCUUGCGGUCGAUACGGGCAUGACUGGAGUUCGGCAGGGGAGACUGGAAUUCCUGGUGUAGCGGUGAAAUGCGCAGAUAUCAGGAGGAACACCGGUGGCGAAAGGCGGGUCUCUGGGCCGAUACUGACGCUGAGGAGCGAAAGCGUGGGGAGCGAACGG
rnacentral:rRNA from 1 species